UACAGAGGUCCCGAGCGUUGUUCGGAUUCACUGGGCGUAAAGGGUGCGUAGGUGGUGGGAUAAGUCGGAUGUGAAAUCUCGGAGCUUAACUCCGAAACUGCAUUGGAAACUGUCCUGCUAGAGGGUUGGAGGGGGGACUGGAAUGCUUGGUGUAGCAGUGAAAUGCGUAGAUAUCAAGCGGAACACCAGUGGCGAAGGCGAGUCCCUGGACAACUCCUGACACUGAGGCACGAAAGCUAGGGGAGCAAACAGG
rnacentral:rRNA from 1 species